AACGAACGCUGGCGGCAUGCCUAACACAUGCAAGUCGAACGAGACCUUCGGGUCUAGUGGCGCACGGGUGCGUAACGCGUGGGAAUCUGCCCUUGGGUUCGGAAUAACAGUUAGAAAUGACUGCUAAUACCGGAUAAUGUCUUCGGACCAAAGAUUUAUCGCCCAGGGAUGAGCCCGCGUAGGAUUAGCUAGUUGUGAGGUAAAGGCUCACCAAGGCGACGAUCCUUAGCUGGUCUGAGAGGAUGAUCAGCCACACUGGACUGAGACACGCCCAGACUCCUACGGAGGCAGCAGU
rnacentral:rRNA from 1 species